GGGGAACCUGCGGCUGGAUCACCUCCUUUCUAAGGAGCCGACGAUCCGCAAGGAUAGUCGGUACCUCAGCUACGAUCAGUAAGUCCUCGCAACCUCCUCCCUAGUUUUGAAAGACUGGCGAACGUUGGGCCUAUAGCUCAGUUGGCUAGAGCGUACCCCUGAUAAGGGUAAGGUCGGUAGUUCGACUCUACCUAGGCCCACCUGAAUCUGGGUACCUCGAAGCCACGGGGCUGUAGCUCAGAUGGGAGAGCGCCGCCCUUGCAAGGCGGAGGCCGUCGGUUCGAUUCCGAUCAGCUCCACUCCCCCCAACGCUGCCGGAUGCGCGCUGUCCGUCGUCCACGGGUAACGCGGAUCCAGACAGUUUCCUGGGUUCGUCAUUCGAUCUUUGACAAUUGCAUACGGGUAAACAAAUCCGGAUCAAAGAGAGAGCAAUUUGGUAGUUCGGCGAAAUGGUCAAGCUACUAAGGGCGUAC
rnacentral:tRNA from 1 species